CAUGAAAGCUGAGUGUGUAUGGCAGUUACGAUAUAUGUUAAU
rnacentral:guide_RNA from 1 species